UAGGGAAUCUUCGGCAAUGGGGGGAACCCUGACCGAGCAACGCCGCGUGAGUGAAGAAGGUUUUCGGAUCGUAAAGCUCUGUUGUUAAGGAAGAACGAGUGUGAGAAUGGAAAGUUCAUGCUGUGACGGUACUUAACCAGAAAGGGACGGCUAACUACGUGCCAGCAGCCGCGGUAAUACGUAGGUCCCGAGCGUUGUCCGGAUUUAUUGGGCGUAAAGCGAGCGCAGGCGGUUAGAUAAGUCUGAAGUUAAAGGCAGUGGCUCAACCAUUGUAGGCUUUGGAAACUGUUUAACUUGAGUGCAGAAGGGGGGAGUGGAAUUCCAUGUGUAGCGGUGAAAUGCGUAGAUAUAUGGAGGAACACCGGUGGCGAAAGCGGCUCUCUGGGCUGUAACUGACGCUGAGGCUCGAAAGCGUGGGGAGCGAACAGG
rnacentral:rRNA from 1 species